rnacentral:rRNA from 1 species
GAGUUUGAUCCUGGCUCAGGAUGAACGCUGGCGGCGUGCUUAACACAUGCAAGUCGAACGAAGCACUUGAGAUUGAAUCUUCGGAUGAGAACUCUUGUGACUGAGUGGCGGACGGGUGAGUAACGCGUGGGUAACCUACCUCAUACAGGGGGAUAACAGUUGGAAACGACCGCUAAUACCGCAUAACCCGCUAGUAUCGCAUGAUACGGACGGAAAAGAUUUAUCGGUGUGAGAUGGACCCGCGUCUGAUUAGCCAGUUGGCAGGGUAACGGCCUACCAAAGCAACGAUCAGUAGCCGGCCUGAGAGGGUGAACGGCCACGAUUGGGACUGAGACACGGCCCAAACUCCUACGGGAGGCAGCAGUGGGG